rnacentral:rRNA from 1 species
GACGAACGCUGGCGGCGUGGAUUAGGCAUGCAAGUCGAACGGUAAACGUUCCUUCGGGGAUGUUGAGAGUGGCGAACGGGUGAGUAACGCGUAGGUGAUCUACCUUCAAGUGGGGGACAACCCAGGGAAACUUGGGCUAAUACCGCAUGUGCCUGCAAAGGUAAAGCCGGCCUCUGAAAAUGCUGGUGCUUGGAGCUGAGCCUGCGUCUGAUUAGCUAGUUGGUGGGUAACGCCUACCUAGGCGAUGAUAAGUAGGCGGCUUUAACGAGUGGUCGCCCACACUGGGAUUGAGAUACGGCCCAGACUCCUACGGGUGGCUG